UACGUAGGGUGCAAGCGUUGUCCGGAAUUAUUGGGCGUAAAGAGCUCGUAGGCGGUUUGUCGCGUCUGCUGUGAAAACCCGGGGCUCAACCCCGGGCCUGCAGUCGAUACGGGCAGACUAGAGUGCGGUAGGGGAGACUGGAAUUCCUGGUGUAGCGGUGAAAUGCGCAGAUAUCAGGAGGAACACCGGUGGCGAAGGCGGCAUCCUGGACCGGCAUUGACGCUGAGGAGCGAAAGCUAGGGGAGCAAACGGG
rnacentral:rRNA from 1 species